UACGGAGGAUGCAAGCGUUAUCCGGAUUUAUUGGGUUUAAAGGGUGCGCAGGUUGUUUGAUAAGUCAGUGGUGAAAGUCUGUCGCUUAACGGUAGGAUUGCCAUUGAUACUGUUGGACUUGAAUAUGGAUGAGGUAGGCGGAAUGUGUAGUGUAGCAGUGAAAUGCAUAGAUAUUACACAGAACACCGAUUGCGAAGGCAGCUUACUAAUCCAUCAUUGACGCUGAGGCACGAAAGCGUGGGGAUCAAA
rnacentral:rRNA from 1 species